rnacentral:rRNA from 1 species
AUUGAACGCUGGCGGCAGGCUUAACACAUGCAAGUCGAGCGAGCGGCGGACGGGUGAGUAGUGUCUGGGAAACUGCCUGAUGGAGGGGGAUAACUACGGGAAACGGUAGCUAAUACCGCAUACCAUCAGAUGUGCCCAGAUGGGAUUAGCGAGUAGGUGGGGUAAUGGCUCCUCGAGGCGACGAUCCCUAGCUGGUCUGAGAGGGUGACCGGCCACACUGGAACUGAGACACGGUCCAGACUCCUACGGGAGGCAGCAGUGGGGAAUAUUGCACAAUGGGCGCAAGCCUGACGCAGCCAUGCCGCGUGUGUGAAGAAGGCCUUCGGGUCGUAAAGCACUUUCAGCGGGGAGGCGUUAUUCGAAGAAGAAGCACCGGCUAACUACGUGCCAGCAGCCGCGGUAAUAC